GCGGGUGUAGCUCAGCGGUAGAUCGCCUGCUUGCCAAGCAGGAGGUCGCGGGUUCGAAUCCCGUCGCCCGCUCCA
rnacentral:tRNA from 1 species